UGAGGAAUAUUGCGCAAUGGAGGAAACUCUGACGCAGCCAUGCCGCGUGAGUGAUGAAGGCCCUCGGGUUGUAAAGCUCUUUCAAGUGUGAAGAUAAUGACGGUAGCACUACAAGAAGCUCCGGCUAAAUUCGUGCCAGCAGCCGCGGUAAUACGAAUGGAGCAAGCGUUGUUCGGAAUCACUGGGCUUAAAGCGUGCGUAGGCGGAUAAGCAAGUCAGAAGUGAAAUCCCCGGGCUCAACCCGGGAACUGCUUUUGAAACUGUUUAUCUUGAAUCCGGGAGAGGAUAGCAGAAUUCCAAGUGUAGAGGUGAAAUUCGCAGAUAUUUGGAGGAAUACCAGUGGCGUAGGCGGCUAUCUGGACCGGUAUUGACGCUGAGGCACGAAAGCGUGGGGAGCAAACA
rnacentral:rRNA from 1 species